ensembl:miRNA
GCAUUGGGUGAGCAGGUUAGCCCAGCAUUUCCCUUCCUGGACAUACAGGAAGAAAAAUGCUGGACUAACCUGCUCACCCAA